GUAACGCGUGGCAACCUACCUUUCAGUAAGGGACAACAGUUGGAAACGACUGCUAAUACCUUAUACGUCCUCCGGGAGAAAGAUUUAUCGCUGAUAGAUGGGGCCGCGUUAGAUUAGCUUGUUGGUGAGGUAAUAGCUCACCAAGGCGACGAUCUAUAGCGGGUCUGAGAGGAUGAUCCGCCACACUGGGACUGAGACACGGCCCAGACUCCUACGGGAGGCAGCAGUGGGGAAUAUUGGACAAUGGGCGCAAGCCUGAUCCAGCAACGCCGCGUGAAUGAUGAAGGCCUUAGGGUUGUAAAAUUCUUUCGCUAGGGAAGAUAAUGACUGUACCUAGUAAAGAAGCCCCGGCUAACUCCGUGCCAGCAGCCGCGGUAAUACGGAGGGGGCUAGCGUUGUUCGGAAUUACUGGGCGUAAAGCGUGCGUAGGCGGAUUAAUAAGUUAGAGGUGAAAUCCCAGGGCUCAACCCUGGAACUGCCUUUAAAACUGUUAGUCUUGAGUUCUGGAGAGGUAAGUGGAAUUCCUAGUGUAGAGGUGAAAUUCGUAGAU
rnacentral:rRNA from 1 species